UCUUCCUUGGUCUAGUGGUCAUGAUUUCCGCUUGUCAUCCUAAAAGGAACAAGCGCGGGAGACCGGGGUUCGAUUCCCCGAGGGAGAG
rfam:Aspergillus oryzae RIB40 DNA, chromosome 4.